GACGAACGCUGGCGGCGUGCUUAACACAUGCAAGUCGAGCGGUAAGGCCCUUCGGGUACGACGAGCGGCGAACGGGUGAGUAACACGUGGGUGACCUGCCCUUAGCUCUGGGAUAAGCCUGGGAAACUGGGUCUAAUACCGGAUAUGACCUCAUGACGCAUGUUGUGGGGUGGAAAGCCUUGUGCGGCUAGGGAUGGGCCCGCGGCCUAUCAGCUUGUUGGUGGGGUGAUGGCCCACCAAGGCGACGACGGGUAGCCGGCCUGAGAGGGCGACCGGCCACACUGGGACUGAGACACGGCCCAGACUCCUACGGGAGGCAGCAGUGGGGAAUCUUGCGCAAUGGGCGAAAGCCUGACGCAGCGACGCCGCGUGAGGGAUGACGGCCUCGGUUGUAACC
rnacentral:rRNA from 1 species